rnacentral:rRNA from 1 species
CAAACUUGAGAGUUUGAUCCUGGCUCAGAACGAACGCUGGCGGCAGGCCUAACACAUGCAAGUCGAACGAACCUUCGGGUUAGUGGCGCACGGGUGAGGAACACGUGGGAAUAUACACUUCGGUGCGGAACAACGUCUGGAAACGGACGCUAAUACCGCAUAAUGACUCCGGUCCAAAGAUUUAUCGCCGAAGAAUUAGCCCGCGUCUGAUUAGUUUGUUGGUGGGGUAACGGCCUACCAAGACGACGAUCAGUAGCUGGUCUGAGAGGAUGAUCAGCCACACUGGUACUGAGACACGGACCAGACUCCUACGGGAGGCAGCAGUGAGGAAUAUUGCGCAAUGGGGGCAACCCUGACGCAGCCAUGCCGCGUGAGUGAAGAAGGCCUUAGGGUUGUAAAGCUCUUUCAAUGGCGAAGAUGAUGACGGUAACCAUAGAAGAAGCCCCGGCUAAAUUCGUGCCAGCAGCCGCGGUAAUACGAAUGGGGCGAGCGUUGUUCGGAAUCACUGGGCGUAAAGCGUAUGUAGGUGGUCAAGAAAGUCGGGAGUGAAAUCCCAGGGCUUAACCCUGGAACUGCUUCCGAAACUCCUUGACUAGAGUCCCGGAGGGGCCAGCGGAAUUCCGAGUGUAGAGGUGAAAUUCGCAGAUAUUCGGAGGAACACCAGUGGCGUAGGCGGCUGGCUGGACGGGAACUGACACUGAGAUACGAAAGCGUGGGGAUCAAACAGGAUUAGAUACCCUGGUAGUCCACGCCGUAAACGAUGUGUGCUAGUUGUUGGGGGCCACAGGUCUUCAGUGACGCAGCCAACGCAUUAAGCACACCGCCUGGGGAGUACGGUCGCAAGAUUAAAACUCAAAGGAAUUGACGGGGACCCGCACAAGCGGUGGAGCAUGUUGUUUAAUUCGAAGCAACGCGAAGAACCUUACCUACCCUUGACAUACCUCUCGGGGAUUACAGAGAUGUUUUCCUUCGGUUCGGCCGGAGAGUGUACAGGUGCUGCAUGGCUGUCGUCAGCUCGUGUCGUGAGAUGUUGGGUUAAGUCCCGCAACGAGCGCAACCCUUAUCGUAUGUUACCAGCAUUUAGUUGGGGACUCAUGCGAGACUGCCGGUGAUAAGCCGGAGGAAGGCGGGGACGACGUCAAGUCAUCAUGGCCCUUACGGGUAGGGCUACAAACGUGCUACAAUGGGAGUGACAGUGGGCAGCGAGGUCGCGAGGCCGGGCUAAUCCCUAAAAGCUCUCUCAGUUCGGAUUGUACUCUGCAACUCGAGUGCAUGAAGUUGGAAUCGCUAGUAAUCGUGGAUCAGCAUGCCACGGUGAAUACGUUCCCGGGUCUUGUACACACCGCCCGUCACAUCAUGGGAGUUGGUUUUACCUGAAGGCCGUGUGCUAACUUCGGAGGCAGCGGACCACGGUAGGAUCAGCGACUGGGAUGAAGUCGUAACAAGGUAGCCGUAGGGGAACCUGCGGCUGGAUCACCUCCUUUCUAAGGA